CCUACGGGAGGCAGCAGUGAGGAAUAUUGGUCAAUGGACGGAAGUCUGAACCAGCCAUGCCGCGUGCAGGAAGACGGCUCUAUGAGUUGUAAACUGCUUUUGUACAAGGGUAAACCUGAAUACGUGUAUUCAGCUGAAAGUACUGUACGAAUAAGGAUCGGCUAACUCCGUGCCAGCAGCCGCGGUAAUACGGAGGAUCCAAGCGUUAUCCGGAUUUAUUGGGUUUAAAGGGUGCGUAGGCGGAUUGAUAAGUUAGAGGUGAAAUGUCCGAGCUUAACUCGGGAACUGCCUCUAAUACUGUUGAUCUAGAGAGUAGAUGCGGUAGGCGGAAUGUAUGGUGUAGCGGUGAAAUGCUUAGAGAUCAUACAGAACACCGAUUGCGAAGGCGGCCUGCUGGACCGCGACUGACGUUGAGGCUCGAAAGCGUGGGGAGCGAACAGGAUUAGAUACCCCAGUAGUC
rnacentral:rRNA from 1 species